GACGAACGCUGGCGGCGUGCUUAACACAUGCAAGUCGAACGGAAAGGCCCUGCUUUUUUGCUCUGCCCGAUUGGCGAACGGGUGCGUAAGACGUGAGUAACCUACCCUUCAUUUUGGGGGGACUUCACGUAACUGGGGCUAAUACAGUACAGCAGCUCCUCCUCCUUGGUGGGGGGUGGAAAUUCUCGGCGGUCGUGGUUGGACGGGCGGCUUAUCAGCUUGUUGGUGGAGGAGUUGCUUACCAAGGGUUUGACGGGUCGCCGGCAUGGGAGGGUGACCGGGGACAUUGGGCCUGCGAGACGGCCCAGAGGCCUACGGGAGGCAGCAGUGGGAAAUAUUGCCCAAUGGGCGGAAGCCGGAUGCAGCAACGUCGCGUGCGGGAUGACGGCCUUCGGGUUGUAAACCGCUUCAGCCUAUGACGAAGCGGGAGUGACGGUAACGGAUAAAGAAGCACCGGCUAACUACGUG
rnacentral:rRNA from 1 species